GUACCUGCAAAUUCAGGUGCCGGGUUUCACAGCCCGCCGAGAUUCACCGCGAUGAUGACACGCCGUGAGCGUGUUUUUU
rnacentral:sRNA from 1 species